GCGCCCGUAGCUCAACGGAUAGAGCGCCGGACUACGAAUCCGUAGGUUGGGCGUUCGAAUCGCCCCGGGCGCG
rnacentral:tRNA from 2 species